GGAGUUGUGACUCAGUGGUAGAGUGUUUGCCUAGCAGGCAUGAGGCACUGGGUUUGAUCCCCUGCCCCACCU
rnacentral:tRNA from 1 species